CGCACCUUCGGGUGAGCGGCGGACGGGUGAGUAACGCGUGGGAACGUGCCCUUUGGUACGGGAUAACUGAGGGAAACUUCAGCUAAUACCGUAUGUGCCCUACGGGGGAAAGAUUUAUCACCAUUGGAGCGGCCCGCGUUGGAUUAGGUAGUUGGUGAGGUAAAGGCUCACCAAGCCUACGAUCCAUAGCUGGUCUGAGAGGAUGAUCAGCCACACUGGGACUGAGACACGGCCCAGACUCCUACGGGAGGCAGCAGUAGGGAAUCUUGCGCAAUGGGCGAAAGCCUGACGCAGCCAUGCCGCGUGAAUGAUGAAGGUCUUAGGAUUGUAAAAUUCUUUCACCGGGGAAGAUAAUGACGGUACCCGGAGAAGAAGCCCCGGCUAACUUCGUGCCAGCAGCCGCGGUAAUACGAAGGGGGCUAGCGUUGCUCGGAAUUACUGGGCGUAAAGGGCGCGUAGGCGGACAGUUUAGUCAGAGGUGAAAGCCCAGGGCUCAACCUUGGAAUUGCCUUUGAUACUGGCUGUCUUGAGUUCGGGAGAGGUGAGUGGAAUGCCGAGUGUAGAGGUGAAAUUCGUAGAUAUUCGGCGGAACACCAGUGGCGAAGGCGACUCACUGGCCCGA
rnacentral:rRNA from 1 species